UACGUAGGGUGCAAGCGUUAAUCGGAAUUACUGGGCGUAAAGCGUGCGCAGGCGGUGAUGUAAGACAGAUGUGAAAUCCCCGGGCUCAACCUGGGAACUGCAUUUGUGACUGCAUCGCUAGAGUACGGCAGAGGGGGAUGGAAUUCCGCGUGUAGCAGUGAAAUGCGUAGAGAUGCGGAGGAACACCGAUGGCGAAGGCAGCCCCCUGGGCUAACACUGACGCUCAGGCACGAAAGCGUGGGGAGCAAACAGG
rnacentral:rRNA from 1 species